GGCGAACGCUGGUGGCGUGCCUAAUACAUGCAAGUCGAGCGGGCCGAACAGGAGCUUGCUCUUGUUCGGUUAGCGGCGGACGGGUGAGUAACACGUGGGUAACCUGCCCGUAAGACCGGGAUAACUCCGGGAAACCGGAGCUAAUACCGGAUAACACCGAAGACCGCAUGGUCUUUGGUUGAAAGGCGGCUUCGGCUGCCACUUACGGAUGGGCCCGCGGCGCAUUAGCUAGUUGGUGAGGUAACGGCUCACCAAGGCGACGAUGCGUAGUCGGCCUGAGAGGGUGACCGGCCACACUGGGACUGAGACACGGCCCAGACUCCUACGGGAGGCAGCAGUAGGGAAUCUUCCGCAAUAGACGAAAGUCUGACGGAGCGACGCCGCGUGAGCGAAGAAGGUCUUCGGAUCGUAAAGCUCUGUUGUUAGGGAAGAAGAAGCGUCGUUCGAACAGGGCGGCGCGGUGACGGUACCUAACGAGAAAGCCCCGGCUAACUACGUG
rnacentral:rRNA from 1 species